AUUGAACGCUGGCGGCAUGCCUUACACAUGCAAGUCGAACGGUAACGGGCCUUCGGGUGCCGACGAGUGGCGAACGGGCGAGUAAUACAUCCGAACGUGCCCGAUCGUGGGGGAUAACGAGGCGAAAGCUUUGCUAAUACCGCAUACGAUCUACGGAUGAAAGCAGGGGACCGCAAGGCCUUGCGCGGACGGAGCGGCCGAUGGCAGAUUAGGUAGUUGGUGGGAUAAAAGCUUACCAAGCCGACGAUCUGUAGCUGGUCUGAGAGGAUGAUCAGCCACACUGGGACUGAGACACGGCCCAGACUCCUACGGGAGGCAGCAGUGGGGAAUGUUGGACAAUGGGCGCAAGCCUGAUCCAGCCAUGCCGCGUGCAGGAUGAAGGCCUUCGGGUUGUAAACUGCUUUUGUACGGAACGAAAAGCCUUCUUUUAAUACAGGAGGGUCAUGACGGUACCGGAAGAAUAAGCACCGGCUAACUACGUG
rnacentral:rRNA from 1 species